rnacentral:misc_RNA from 1 species
GAUGAAGAACGUAGCGAAAUGCGAUACUUGGUGUGAAUUGCAGAAUCCCGUGAACCAUCGAGUCUUUGAACGCAAGUUGCGCCCGAAGCCAUCAGGUUGAGGGCACGUCUGCCUGGGCGUCACAUAUCGUUGCCCAAUGCCUAUUGCAGUGCAAUAGGAAUUUCUAGGGCGAAUGAUGGCUUCCCGUGAGCGUUGUUGCCUCGCGGUUGGUUGAAAAUCGAGUCCUUGGUAGGGUGUGCCAUGGUAGAUGGUGGUCGAGUUAGAACGAUACCGAUCAUGUGCAUGCUCCCCAAAAUAUGGCCUCUAUGACCCACACGCGUCUUUUGACGCUCAUGACGAGACCUCAGGUCAGGCGGGGCUACCAGCUGAAUUUAAGCAUAUCAUAAGCGGAGGA